GUGCUCCCUUUUGCAGCACAUAUACUAAAAGUACAAUUAUAUAGAGAAGAGUAGCAUGGCCUCGCACAAGGAACAUGAAGUGUUCCAUAUUAAA
rfam:Felis catus isolate Cinnamon breed Abyssinian chromosome A2, whole genome shotgun sequence.